GACGAACGCUGGCGGCGUGCCUAAUACAUGCAAGUCGAGCGAAGUUUUUCUGGUGCUUGCACCGGAAAAACUUAGCGGCGAACGGGUGAGUAACACGUAAAGAACCUGCCUCAUAGACUGGGACAACUAUUGGAAACGAUAGCUAAUACCGGAUAAUAGCAUUAACUGCAUGGUUGAUGUUUAAAAGUUGGUUUUGCUAACACUAUGAGAUGGCUUUGCGGUGCAUUAGCUAGUUGGUGGGGUAAAGGCCUACCAAGGCGACGAUGCAUAGCCGACCUGAGAGGGUGAUCGGCCACACUGGGACUGAGACACGGCCCAGACUCCUACAGGAGGCAGCAGUAGGGAAUCUUCCGCAAUGGGCGAAAGCCUGACGGAGCAACGCCGCGUGAGUGAAGAAGGAUUUCGGUUCGUAAAGCUCUGUUGUUAGGGAAGAAUGAUUGUGUAGUAACUAUACACAGUAGAGACGGUACCUAACCAGAAAGCCACGGCUAACUACGUG
rnacentral:rRNA from 1 species